GGCUUCCUCAACCUCGGCCCUCCAGAUGUUUUUGGCCUAGCUAGCAGGGAUGAUGGGAAUUGUUGUCUCAAAACAUCUGGAGGGCCGAGGUUGAGGAAGCC